rnacentral:rRNA from 1 species
UACGGAGGAUGCAAGCGUUAUCCGGAAUGAUUGGGCGUAAAGCGUCCGCAGGUGGCUAUGUAAGUCUGCUGUUAAAGAGUCUAGCUCAACUAGAUAAGAGCAGUGGAAACUACAAGGCUAGAGUACGUUCGGGGCAGAGGGAAUUCCUGGUGUAGCGGUGAAAUGCGUAGAUAUCUGGAGGAACACCGGUGGCGAAGGCGGCAUCCUGGACCGACACUGACGCUGAGGAGCGAAAGCCAGGGGAGCAAACGGG